UACGUAGGGACCAAGCGUUGUUCGGAUUUACUGGGCGUAAAGGGCGCGUAGGCGGCGCGGUAAGUCACUUGUGAAAUCUCUGAGCUUAACUCAGAACGGCCAAGUGAUACUGCUGUGCUAGAGUGCAGAAGGGGCAAUCGGAAUUCCUGGUGUAGCGGUGAAAUGCGCAGAUAUCAGGAGGAACACCAGUGGCGAAGGCGCCGCUCUGGGCCGUGACUGACGCUGAGGAGCGAAAGCGUGGGUAGCAAACAGG
rnacentral:rRNA from 1 species